rfam:Danio rerio chromosome 24, GRCz11 reference primary assembly.
AGCCACAGCCGUAUCACCCUGCAGCCCAAGAGCAGCCACUCACUAGUUAAGCAGGGCUGAGUCUGGUCAGUAGCUAAAUGGGAGACCACAUGGGAAAACUAGGGUGGCAGUGGUGU